GUUUGUAAUUCUAACUACUGAGAGACUGAGGCUGGUGGCUAUCUUGAGCUCAUGAGUUCUGAGCUACAUUGGGCAAUGCUGACUGAAUAUCAGCACUAAAUUCAGUAUUGAUAUGGUGAGCACUCAGGAGCCAGGAGGCCACCAGGUGCACUAAGGAGGAGCAUACCUGCCCAAGUUGAAAACAGAGCAGGUCAAAACUGUUCUGCCAAUCAGUAUUAGGAUCAGGCCCAUGAGUAGUCCUUGUACUUCUAGCCUGGGCAAAAUGGGAAGACCCAGAAUUUU
ensembl:misc_RNA Metazoa_SRP Metazoan signal recognition particle RNA